UACGAAGGGGGCUAGCGUUGUUCGGAAUUACUGGGCGUAAAGCGCACGUAGGCGGGUUGUUAAGUCAGGGGUGAAAUCCUGGAGCUCAACUCCAGAACUGCCUUUGAUACUGGCAACCUAGAGACUGGAAGAGGUUAGUGGAAUUCCCAGUGUAGAGGUGAAAUUCGUAGAUAUUGGGAAGAACACCGGUGGCGAAGGCGGCGACCUGGUCCGAUACUGACGCUGAGGCGCGAAAGCGUGGGGAGCAAACAGG
rnacentral:rRNA from 1 species